UACGGGGGGUGCGAGCGUUGUCCGGAAUCACUGGGCGUAAGGGGCGCGUAGGCGGUUCAUACAGUCAGAUGUGAAAUUCCCGGGCUUAACCUGGGGGCUGCAUUUGAUACGUGUGGGCUUGAGUGAGGAAGAGGGUUGUGGAAUUCCCAGUGUAGAGGUGAAAUUCGUAGAUAUUGGGAAGAACACCGGUGGCGAAGGCGGCAACCUGGUCCUUGACUGACGCUGAGGCGCGAAAGCGUGGGGAGCAAACAGG
rnacentral:rRNA from 1 species